rnacentral:rRNA from 1 species
UACGUAGGGUGCGAGCGUUGUCCGGAAUUAUUGGGCGUAAAGAGCUCGUAGGCGGCCUGUCGCGUCGGAUGUGAAAGCCCGGGGCUUAACCCCGGGUCUGCAUUCGAUACGGGCAGGCUAGAGUUCGGUAGGGGAGAUCGGAAUUCCUGGUGUAGCGGUGAAAUGCGCAGAUAUCAGGAGGAACACCGGUGGCGAAGGCGGAUCCCUGGGCCGAUACUGACGCUGAGGAGCGAAAGCGUGGGGAGCGAACAGG